rnacentral:rRNA from 1 species
UACGUAGGGUCCGAGCGUUGUCCGGAAUUACUGGGCGUAAAGAGCUCGUAGGUGGUUUGUCGCGUUGUUCGUGAAAACUCACAGCUUAACUGUGGGCGUGCGGGCGAUACGGGCAGACUUGAGUACUGCAGGGGGAGACUGGAAUUCCUGGUGUAGCGGUGGAAUGCGUAGAUAUCUGGAGGAACACCGGUGGCGAAGGCGGCGUUCUGGACUGUAACUGACACUGAGUGAACGAAAGCCAGGGGAGCAAACGGG